rnacentral:rRNA from 1 species
AUUGAACGCUGGCGGCAUGCCUUACACAUGCAAGUCGAACGGUAACGGGCCUUCGGGUGCCGACGAGUGGCGAACGGGUGAGUAAUGUAUCGGAACGUACCUUUCAGUGGGGGAUAACGUAGCGAAAGUUGCGCUAAUACCGCAUAUUCUGUGCGCAGGAAAGCAGGGGAUCGCAAGACCUUGCGCUGAUUGAGCGGCCGAUAUCAGAUUAGCUAGUUGGUGGGGUAAAGGCCUACCAAGGCGACGAUCUGUAGCGGGUCUGAGAGGGUGAUCCGCCACACUAGGACUGAGACACGGUCCAGACUCCUACGGGAGGCAGCAGUGGGGAAUUUUGGACAAUGGGGGCAACCCUGAUCCAGCCAUGCCGCGUGAGUGAAGAAGGCCUUCGGGUUGUAAAGCUCUUUCGGCCGGGAAGAAAUCGUAUGGGUUAAUACCCUGUGCGGAUGACGGUACCGGCAUAAGAAGCACCGGCUAACUACGUGCCAGCCGCCGCGGUAAUAC